UACGUAGGUGGCAAGCGUUGUCCGGAUUUACUGGGCGUAAAGAGCGCGCAGGCGGUCGUUCAAGUCGCGUGUGAAAGCCCCCGGCUCAACUGGGGAGGGUCACGCGAUACUGAUCGACUCGAAGGCAGGAGAGGGUAGUGGAAUUCCCGGUGUAGUGGUGAAAUGCGCAGAUAUCUGGAGGAAUACCGGUGGCGAAGGCGGCAUCCUGG
rnacentral:rRNA from 1 species